UGCGUAGGUGGUUCGUUAAGUCUGCCGUGAAAGCCCCGGGCUCAACCUGGGAAUGGCGGUGGAUACUGGCGGACUAGAGUGCGGUAGAGGGUGGUGGAAUUCCCGGUGUAGCAGUGAAAUGCGUAGAGAUCGGGAGGAACAUCUGUGGCGAAGGCGGCCACCUGGACCAGCACUGACACUGAGGCACGAAAGCGUGGGGAGCAAACAGGAUUAGAUACCCUGGUAGUCCACGCCCUAAACGAUGCGAACUGGACGUUGGGAGCAACUGGGCUCUCAGUGUCGAAGCUAACGCGUUAAGUUCGCCGCCUGGGGAGUACGGUCGCAAGACUGAA
rnacentral:rRNA from 1 species